rnacentral:rRNA from 1 species
UACAGAGGGUGCGAGCGUUAAUCGGAAUUACUGGGCGUAAAGCGUGCGUAGGCGGUUAUUUAAGUCGGGUGUGAAAGCCCCGGGCUCAACCUGGGAAUUGCAUUCGAGACUGAAUAGCUAGGGUACGGUAGAGGGAAGCGGAAUUUCCGGUGUAGCGGUGAAAUGCGUAGAUAUCUGGAGGAACACCGGUGGCGAAGGCGGCAUCCUGGACCAUUAUUGACGCUGAGGAGCGAAAGCCAGGGGAGCAAACGGG